rnacentral:rRNA from 1 species
AAUAGAUACCCCGGUAGUCCACGCCGUAAACGAUGAGUGCUAAGUGUUAGAGGGUUUCCGCCCUUUAGUGCUGCAGCAAACGCAUUAAGCACUCCGCCUGGGGAGUACGGCCGCAAGGCUGAAACUCAAAGGAAUUGACGGGGACCCGCACAAGCGGUGGAGCAUGUAGUUUAAUUCGAAGCAACGCGAAGAACCUUACCAGGUCUUGACAUCCUCUGACCAUCUUAGAGAUAGGACCUUCCCCUUCGGGGGACAGAGUGACAGGUGGUGCAUGGUUGUCGUCAGCUCGUGUCGUGAGAUGUUGGGUUAAGUCCCGCAACGAGCGCAACCCUUGUCCUUAGUUGCCAGCAUUCAGUUGGGAACUCUAAGGAGACUGCCGGUGACAAACCGGAGGAAGGUGGGGAUGACGUCAAAUCAUCAUGCCCCUUAUGACCUGGGCUACACACGUGCUACAAUGGAUGGUACAAAGGGCUGCGAAAGCCGCGAGGUGGAGCCAAUCCCAUAAAAACCAUUCUCAGUUCGGAUUGCAGGCUG